GGAGACUGUUGGAGGUAUGCCCUAGAGGCAAUCAUAGAGAUGAUGAUAUUCCAUUUGUAUCCAUGAUUUGUAUAUUGUGUUCAUUGAAUAUCCAUUAAAGGCUACUUGAAUUGAUUUGCAAUUAUGUGAAUUGUAUGUGAAACUCUUUACUUGUAUGGUUAUUCUAAAGUUGUCCCUAGUCGGAGUUCAUGUGAGGACACACAUGAAUAUUAUACUAGCACAUGUAUUGGUUGAUGACUAUGUUUCACAAGUCAUGGACAUGGAGAUGUUGAACUAAUAAUGUGGACACAUGUGGAGACAUAUGUUAGGACUGACCCAACACGAGAAAUAGUUCUCUCUUUAAACAACAUAUACGCUUUGUCCUUAGACCUGAGAUUGUCGCAUGUAUUCUAGAUGUGGAUUGACCUACUUAGGGGCUAUCAAACGCUACGCCGUAACAGGGUAGUUAUAAAGGUAGCUUUCGGGUUUGUCAAGAAGCAUG
rnacentral:lncRNA from 1 species